UACAGAGGGGGCUAGCGUUGUUCGGAAUUACUGGGCGUAAAGGGUGCGUAGGCGGCCCGCUAAGUCGAACGUGAAAUCCCCGGGCUCAACCCGGGAACUGCGUCCGAUACUGGCAGGCUUGAAUCCGGGAGAGGGAUGUGGAAUUCCAGGUGUAGCGGUGAAAUGCGUAGAUAUCUGGAGGAACACCGGUGGCGAAGGCGGCAUCCUGGACCGGUAUUGACGCUGAGGCGCGAAAGCCAGGGGAGCAAACGGG
rnacentral:rRNA from 1 species